UACGAAGGGGGCCAGCGUUGCUCGGAAUCACUGGGCGUAAAGGGUGCGUAGGCGGGUCUUUAAGUCAGGGGUGAAAUCCUGGAGCUCAACUCCAGAACUGCCUUUGAUACUGAAGAUCUUGAGUUCGGGAGAGGUGAGUGGAACUGCGAGUGUAGAGGUGAAAUUCGUAGAUAUUCGCAAGAACACCAGUGGCGAAGGCGGCUCACUGGCCCGAUACUGACGCUGAGGCACGAAAGCGUGGGGAGCGAACAGG
rnacentral:rRNA from 1 species